rnacentral:rRNA from 1 species
GACAGAGGUUGCAAACGUUGUUCGGAAUUACUGGGCAUAAAGCGCACGUAGGCGGUCCACUAAGUCAGGGGUGAAAUCCCGGGGCUCAACCCCGGAACUGCCUUUGAUACUGGGUAUCUGGAGGUCGAGAGAGGCGAGUGGAAUUCCGAGUGUAGAGGUGAAAUUCGUAGAUAUUCGGAGGAACACCAGUGGCGAAGGCGGCUCGCUGGCUCGAUACUGACGCUGAGGUGCGAAAGCGUGGGGAGCAAACAGG